rnacentral:rRNA from 1 species
UUUAACUGAAGAGUUUGAUCAUGGCUCAGAUUGAACGCUGGCGGCAGGCUUAACACAUGCAAGUCGAGCGGGGGAAGGUAGCUUGCUACUGGACCUAGCGGCGGACGGGUGAGUAAUGCUUAGGAAUCUGCCUAUUAGUGGGGGACAACAUCUCGAAAGGGAUGCUAAUACCGCAUACGUCCUACGGGAGAAAGCAGGGGAUCUUCGGACCUUGCGCUAAUAGAUGAGCCUAAGUCGGAUUAGCUAGUUGGUGGGGUAAAGGCCUACCAAGGCGACGAUCUGUAGCGGGUCUGAGAGGAUGAUCCGCCACACUGGGACUGAGACACGGCCCAGACUCCUACGGGAGGCAGCAGUGGGGAAUAUUGGACAAUGGGGGGAACCCUGAUCCAGCCAUGCCGCGUGUGUGAAGAAGGCCUUAUGGUUGUAAAGCACUUUAAGCGAGGAGGAGGCUACUCUAGUUAAUACCUAGGGAUAGUGGACGUUACUCGCAGAAUAAGCACCGGCUAACUCUGUGCCAGCAGCCGCGGUAAUACAGAGGGUGCGAGCGUUAAUCGGAUUUACUGGGCGUAAAGCGUGCGUAGGCGGCUUAUUAAGUCGGAUGUGAAAUCCCCGAGCUUAACUUGGGAAUUGCAUUCGAUACUGGUGAGCUAGAGUAUGGGAGAGGAUGGUAGAAUUCCAGGUGUAGCGGUGAAAUGCGUAGAGAUCUGGAGGAAUACC